AACAUACAAAUACUAUCAAAAUGUACUAGCAUUUUUGACAAAUUCAAGCAUGAUGAAUUAAUGAUAACAUGUGAUUUUGGGUAUUGGCCAAAUGUUCUUUAUAGACUUAUAUUGCAUCCGUAAAACACAACUAUUGAGAGAUAGAGGAAGUUCCUGUUUUGUAUAUAUGUGCAUGUUUAUCUAUAAUAGUGUAGCUUACAUCCUAUGAUUUUUCCAUUUGUUGAUCAAUAUGUCGGUUGCCAAUGGGGUUGGUGGCCUAUUGGUAAGAUCUUUGACCUAGGGGGAUCCACCUGGGUUCGAGCCACACUUCUCACAUUUAUGAAGGUAUUAAUAGAGAUUUUUCGAGAGUCCUGGGUUUCAUCCUAAGCAUGCGUGUAAUUUAGGAGUAGGAGUAGAUUAGAAUGUGUUCUAAAAAAAAAUAUGUCGGUUGCCAUAAGAACUAAAAUAACUAUAUCUCUACAUAAAUGGAAAACUAUUGCUCAAAAUUUCAUGGUUUCACCUUGUAAUAUUAUAGAGCUUUCCUUUUAAAUCACUAGUCGUGCAUGCGAGGCUGUAUCUAUGGAUCAUGUUUUCAGCAAGGAUGCAGAUGAUGUUAGAAUGUUGAUGAAAAAAGCUAAUAACAAUGAUUUGUCCAUAAGACAUACAUUGGGGAAGGGUGAAAACAAUAUCAUGUCUGUUGGUGGAUUUGAUGAUUGUUUAAACAUUAAUUCCUCGGGAAGGCUUGUAUGCAAUUAUGACUUUUUGAUGAGACAGCUUUCAUUUCAAAGAUUAGAAAAAAAUGGUCUAUGUGCAUCUACCAGCAAUCUAUUAUUUAGUGGUGUAAAAGUAAUUACUCCUGGUCCCAGAUUCCCAGUGAUGCUACUUCAUAGAGAAAGGAACAAAAAUUGGCUAAAAAGGUUCCUCCAAACAAUUUUCCUGCAAUUGUUAGUAGUUUGCUAUCAACUGUAGGAGCUUUGCGAUGUCAUUAAGGGUGCUUCCUACCUCUGUUGCUGUCGAUCAUGUACCUUUUCAAAGGUGGGCUCGUUGCAUAAGGUCUUUUACUAAUGGAAGGCAUUUUGAAACCAUUUGCCCACCUAAUAAUUGGUUACUUGACAAUUUAAGGCAAUUAAUGCUUAUGAGUUUGAGCGCCAUGCUGGCUGCAAUUCGGCAAAACAAAGCACCCAAAUAAUCAUAUUUACUUCAACAAUGGUAAAUUGGCAAGACAAUUUAUGGUGUUGUGCAAGAGCUGAGAAACACUGCUUAGAAUGUGUUGUUUGAAGUUAUUCAGACGAUAACUGGAUCACCAAUCAACCACAGAUCUUUUCAGCUUUGGAAAGAUUCAUUCCUUGCUGCUACUCGCGAGCUUCAGUGGAUAUAUGGGAGGGAAGAAGGAAAAAUUAUGUCAUAAAUAGUUGGCUUUAUCAAGGUGAAAAAUAACAAGAAGAAUUAGCGACUUGGCCUACUUUAAACAUUGUACACAGGUCAAGGUUUUGCAAUAUGACUGAUGGCAAGUUUCUUUUUUGUUAUACACUAUAAAUUAUUUUAGGUAAUUAAGAUGUGAUUUAAAUCGAAACCUAGCUUGGCCUUAUUAUAUACUGUAGGCACUCGAAAGCAUAUUGAGGAAGUAUAAUCUAUAGUAAGCAAUUGCCAUUUAUGCUUUCCUCAUAAGCAAUGCACCAUUAAAAGCUUUAACUUGAAUUGAGAAUCCACUUUUAUUUUGGCUGGUGUAUUUGUAUCAUAGAUCAUUCACUAGUAAAAACAGUAUAUGAUGUGAGUA